rnacentral:rRNA from 1 species
CCUACGGGAGGCAGCAGCUAAGAAUAUUCCGCAAUGGACGAAAGUCUGACGGAGCGACGCCGCGUGGAUGAAGAAGGCCGAAAGGUUGUAAAGUUCUUUUGUUGGGGAAGAAUAACCAUGGGAGGGAAUGCCCGUGGGAUAACAUGAACCGACGAAUAAGCCCCGGCUAACUACGUGCCAGCAGCCGCGGUAACACGUAGGGGGCAAGCGUUGUUCGGAAUUACUGGGCGUAAAGGGCAUGUAGGCGGCCUUGUAAGCUUGGCGUGAAAGUCCACGGCUUAACCGUGGGAUUGCGUUGAGAACUGCGAGGCUUGAGUGACGGAGGGGGAGCUAGAAUUCCUGGUGUAGGGGUGGAAUCUGUAGAGAUCAGGAAGAAUACCAAUGGCGAAGGCAAGCUCCUGGCCGAUGACUGACGCUGAGGUGCGAAAGUGUGGGGAUCAAACAGGAUUAGAUACCCUGGUAGUCCACACUGUAAACGAUGUACACUAGGUGCUGGUACGGAUGUAUCAGUGCCGUAGCUAACGUGAUAAGUGUACCGCCUGGGGAGUAUGCUCGCAAGGGUGAAACUCAAAUGAAUUGACGG